rnacentral:tRNA from 1 species
GGAGAGGUGGCUCAGAGGUUAAGAGCACUUGAUUGCUCUUCCAGAGAUCCUGAGUUCAAUUCUCAAAUAUCACCU